CCUACGGGAGGCAGCAGUGAGGAAUAUUGGUCAAUGGCCGGAAGGCUGAACCAGCCAAGCCGCGUGAAGGACGAAGGUGCCAAGCAUUGUAAACUUCUUUUGUCAAGGGACAAAAUCAGGCUCGAGAGCCUGACCGAGGGUACUUGAAGAAAAAGCAUCGGCUAACUCCGUGCCAGCAGCCGCGGUAAUACGGAGGAUGCGAGCGUUAUCCGGAUUUAUUGGGUGUAAGGGGUGCGUAGGCGGGCUGUUAAGUCAGCGGGAAAAGCCCGGGGCUCAACCCCGGCGAGCCGUUGAAACUGGCUGUCUUGAGAUGUCGAGAGGUAUGCGGAAUGCGCAGUGUAGCGGUGAAAUGCUUAGAUAUUGCACAGAACUCCGAUUGCGAAGGCAGCAUACCGGCGGCGAUCUGACGCUGAGGCACGAAAGCGUGGGUAUCGAACAGGAUUAGAUACCCCAGUAGUC
rnacentral:rRNA from 1 species